rnacentral:lncRNA from 1 species
GUACUAGCUGUCAGCUGCUGGAGACCUUGCUUUCUGUUUCACUGGGAAACAGAAGCAAUCAGAAGGAAACUUCCUCAGACUCCACCUCUCCCUUCACUCCCGCCUGUAUCCGUGCCUGUUACCUGGACGCCUUGUGGAACUUGAAUUCUACGCCCUCCACUGGGACACUGCCCUUCAUCCUCUCUCACCUCCUCCAGGACAACAAGACGGGAUUUCACCGUGUUAGCCAGGAUGGUCUCGAUCUCCUGACCUCGUGAUCCGCCUGUCUCGACCUCCCAAAGUGCUGGGAUUACAGAAUGUUGUAGUCCUCAUCAUCAGCAGAGACUUUGUGCCAUCCUCUGCUAUAUUAUCCUGAAGAGUGCCUGGCUCAUGCUGCAGUGUUCUGAAUAGCAGUCCAGCUAUGAGGGGAGGUGCCCGUGGCAGGCCUCAGCUGACCCUGGAGAGGCCAUUAAGACCUGGCUGUCGCCUCCACAGCUGCUCGGAGGCAGGUGUUCAAUAAAUGACAGACGCUACCAUCACAGAUUACCAAUGUUACAAAACUGUAAACAGAGAAAGGUGGCUUUGUAAGAAGAAAAGAGAUCAUUCUUUUUCCACCAUGUGAGGACCCAGCAAGAGGGUGGCUGUCUGCAAACCCAGGGAGAGAGCCCUCACCAGGAAUCUGCUGGCACCUUAAUCUUGGACUUCCCAGCCUCCACAACUGUGAGGAAUAAAUGUAUGUUGUUUAAGCCA